GCUCGUUGACUCGUAUCAAUAACAACAGAAUUUGGUCCAUGCAACUGUGUAUAUGUUUCGCCUGUUAUAAGGUCAUUUAACAAAUCCAUUUGUAAGAUACUUCCCAUAAGCAGAUUUGCACAUAUAUUGAAAGACAGGUAAGUCUUAUCUUCAGUAAAUCUGUAAAUCUGCAACGAUUGAUAGAAGCUGUCGAUAAGAAGGAUUUUAUGUACCUUUUGCGUCUGCAAUGCCAUCUGUGGUCUAUUUAUAACGUAUGAUUGAUCAAAAAACCAGACGCGUAUAUAAUCAAGAAUUCAACGACGAUACAUGUUACUUAUCAUAUUUGAAAAAAGUGUAAGUUAUGUGUAAUUUUGUGCGAGACGUAUCGAAAAAAGAAAUCUCAUGCAAAACAUACCGCAGAGCAUUUCCGAUGACAUGUCAAAACAGACUCAAUAUCGAAUUAUUCUAUCAGAUCCCGAUAACUUGGGGCUACGUGAGAUUACUGCCGGUAAUGAAAGAGAAAUAUAUACAUAUAUUCUUAAAAGAACUAACUUAUUAAAUUGAAUCUGGGCGAGCUAUCUCUCACUAUUCUAAUGAAUAAUUAAAAGAAACAAAGAUAAAGAGCUACGAUUAUACAAUAUGAUCUUGAAAUACUAGCGAUAUGAUAGCAAUAGUAUAGUAACUUUAAUUUAUUGAAUAUGUUAUGUACGUAAAAGCAUACGUUAGACGUUUUGUCAAUUUAAGAGCACUUAAUCUGCCGACUUAUCUGUAUGUGUAACCAUCUCAAGCCUCAUUUCUUCGAGCCUGCCCUUGAUGUAGUUCAAGACCCUUUUAUGUGCUUCUUGUUUGAGUAUUCUCUCUGUGACCACAAGCUCACUUCAAUCUUUCGGCCCCGCCGUGAUGAUUUUCUAAAUAUGGAGUUAUGCCAUAGAAUUGACCCUCGAAACGACGAACUAUUUUGUUCCAAUCGCUAUAUUCAUGAGACAUCUGUGAAAAGCAUUAGGCUUUACGUAAUCAUAAGUUUUUAAACGGCAAUUUUAAUGCUUAUUUAUUUUUGUUGAGAAACUCGUGCCAACAUAGUUCACCCGACAAAGCACUAAGUUGAAAAAACUUCUUUGUUGCUUCAACGCACUCUUGUGUGAUAGAGAAAAUGAUAGUAAAAGCAACAGGAAUAACCAUAAAAGUGGUAUCUCCAAAUAUGGCUGGACAAACGCUUUCAUGGUGACGUAUACCAGCACGCUCUUAAUUUCUACAGGUAUCCACAGUUAAACAAAGCAGAAAACACAAACACCAAUAAAUACUGAAACUGGUUGUCUUCGACUAAAUACGUUUCUUAACAAUUUUUUUGCUUUAGUUUACUUUAAUGCCCAUUCAAGGCAAAUCAUGUGAGGAUCUCAUGCGAUAAGCACAACGAAUUUCUUUUGCCUACUUUUGAUUAAAAAUCAAGCACAUAAAAAGCAUGUUUUAUUUCAAAUAGUUAUUCAUAGUAUACAUACAUUGAAUUGUAUGAUGAUGAUGAUAGGUUGUUAGCUAGCAGUAAGAAUGUUUAUCGGCUAGAUUCUGUGAAACGAAUGGAUGUAUCUGACCUUAACUAUCGAUGGUGGAUCCCGUUAUGGAAAGGGGACAAACGCCGUCAAAAAAACAUUGUGAACAAUGUCACAAUGAUUACACAAAACUUACGUUUUGGCUAAUGCAAACCCUUCCGUUUCAGCGUAUACACUGUGCUAAAACGUACCACUGAUAAAUAACACAAUUUUAUUUAUUACAAUUUCAGCAUAGAGUUAAAAUUUAAAUUGUUAACCUAUUUACGAAACGUUAUUAAGCCGUAACAAAACAACACUCAGUUUCCUAUUCAUAGCAUAAAUUCGGGACCUCUCGCAGAUCCGCUAGUUCAACCAGUUUUCAAAUUGAACUAAAUUGUGGAACGUAUAGAUGGACAUGAACGGCAAAAGGCAGUAUAGAAAAGCUGAGAUCGGCUACACGCUUAAACAACUACAAUGAACCAAACAAGCACGAAACAAACACAGUGUUACAGUUGCAACACUAUACGUGUCGAGAAGGAAACGCGUUUUUCAAAGAGGCUAUGGAUAGCAAAGAGAGUUGUACAAUAUUCUUUAAGAAAAAGUGUCCUCAAGAACGUUGAUAUACCUUUUUAGGCAAAAAGCUCAGGCUUAAUAACAAUACAGUGACUUCAAUUGACCUUUACAAACGAACAUUAUUACUUGUAUGCCGUACCGUUUAAUAAAAAUACCACCUAAUAAGAUUUUUGCAGAUCUAAUUAGUUGGGUAAUGCGUUCGUUAAGAUUAUGUAUUUGCACUUAGUUUUUCGUUACAAUGGUAAAAGAAAGCGUAAUCAUAUUAAUAAUGUAAUCAUAAUAAACAUGAUCGAUUUCAUACUUUUACGCAGAGGCUUGACUGUGCUAAUGAAAUGCUUUUUCAUUUGAAAAAACAUCUCGCUUUCGUAGUACUAUUUCAUGUACGAUGCCGUCCAUAGUACACUGCAGCAUUUCAUAUAAAUGUUGACCUACGAUUCCGUAACUGUUCUUGAUUCUUUGAUAAUUUUCGGUUUAAAAUAAAAUAUAUGGAAAAACACAUCUUUAUUAGGUAAGACUGAUCUAAUUUACUGCCGAUUUAAACUGCAUAAUAAGAAGCUUGAUAAAUAAAAGGGGAACAAUUUAAGUAUCUCAAUUACUUUAUCAUACUAUGUACUUUGAUAAAGAGACAACAACUAUUUUCAAUGGAAUGGGACCUAAAUAAAAUCAGGUAAGGUUCUUCACAAUGUAGCAAUCUAUUGUAACUAUGUGCAAUCAGCUCUAGAUAGAUAAAAUGCAUACUAUAUUGCUACAGAUGGAGCGGCUGUGUAACACUUGAGAAAUAUAUGGACAAGGUUGAUCCACAUCGUUUUAGUAAUGCUGAAACGUUGAUGGAGGCAUUUACUAGAUUGUCUUUUGCACGACAAUUAGUUUGACUUGAUUACCUUACAUUUGUUCCUUUUCAGCCUUAAACCUUGCUGGCUACAUCAGUGCAUCAGGCAAAUUCGUCGUUACUUCCUAUCAUGAAUAUGGUCGCCUUAUAGACCCUGUAUCUGUACAUAAAAUAUAACGUUACUAAAUCAAGCUAUAGAAUGAUUUAAUUUCCUUACUGUGAAUUCCUCCAUGAUAACUAAUGAAUCAUGUAUUAUUCAACUUAUAACUGUAGUUAGGUACAUACCUAUAGCUUAUACCCCCUACAAAACCUUUUAAUUUCCCUAACACCGUAAGCUGUAAAUGCACCUUGCGACGCUCGAUUCACCUAUCUCUUAUAGCGUAGGUUAGUGUUUGAUUACAAUGAAUAACCAACAGCGAACGCCUAUCGACACUAAAACACGUAAAUGAAAUCUGAUCAAACUUCGCUUCCCACCGUUAAUAAUCUCGCUUAGAGUUGUUCCUUCUAUAUAGGUGCAAACUGGCCGUAACUUCGUCUGUAUUCUCAUGUAUGGUAGUGUAGCAAUGAAUACGGACACGGCACGCGUACCCGUCUUCAUUGCUUUGUGUUUAUCUACCUAGAUGCCCCUCGUGAUCGGAACGAAUGAGCAUUGGUCGUUUAUCCGAUCUAGUGUCAGUUACUUCAAUUCGGUGUUUAUUCGUUGCGCCGCUAAGGAACACUUCUAGUUGACACCAUACAUAUACCCACCCACACACAAAAUUCGAUCCCUCUGCCUGGAUCAUCUUGUGUUUCUAAUCAGGGUGAUCGUAUUGCUACUAUUGUGACAAAUGAUGACCGUUACAUUAUACUGCCAAUACAGUGAUAGGUAAACAUUGCACGAAAAUAAGAGCGCCGAGCAAAGACCAUGUGCCGUUGAUACACGAUUGUGAAACACCAGAAGAAGUCGAGAAAUCAGUUCAGAGCUGCUGGACUUUCGGUUGUUCUGUAGAGAACGACUCAGCCGUUAAUGCUGGGAGCCAACAGAAGGUAUCAGCGGCGCGGCGGUACGUGAACACCUUUCUCUAUGUUUGUCAUAGACAACGAGCCAGAUUCCCUGUCACCGACAACAUCUCUUGCUACGAGCAUAGGUCCACUUCUCAUGGCUAUUUAUAAACUACUUCAGUCAAUGGCUCAACGCUAUUUCCGUGCGGCAACAUGUGUUCCGGUUUUUCACCCACUUUGCCCCGGCUACAGUUGUUCUGUUAGGGCAUCAUGAAUGCCACUGCGGCUCGACUACCACGGACGCGGGCACUUCUGCUGAUCAUCACGUCUAUUGUAGGCAUGGCUACUGUCGUCGCCCUAAAACUCUGCCACGAAAAGUACCAACUCUACAGAGAAUAUGCAAGCCUGGAACGUUUAGGUCGGGAUGUACAGUUUCUUGAACAAAGUGUCGACGACCUCGGUGCCAAUAUCGUUCAACUAGAAACGCGUCGCGAAAAAGUGCUUCGGCAACUGAAUUUGACAACUGCUAAAAGUGAUACGCAAGGUCGACAAGGCCAACAGGCAAGUGAACGGAUCAGUUGACGUUUCAUCUAGAGAUUUUGGCGCUGUAUUGUACAACUACGUAAUUAAGCAUAGUUUGUACUAUGUAGUUGUUCUUGACGAGAGCGAUGACAUGAAGCGUAUCUGACCACUUAACAGAAAGCGACAUUUUAUAUGUGCUAAAAGUAUUUACAGACUACACAAAGCAAUUGAAAGCAUGGGAGAUGUUUUUCAAAAUUUAUUUAACAUUUCCAUCUUCGAUAGUCUAAUAGAAGAAUGUACAUCAUUUCAUGAAAAACCCGUGUAUUAUCAUUUUUUACAGUAUACCGAUAUUUUAUAACUAUGAACUGUAUAUCAGAACGUAGAGUACGUCUUUACCAAUGUUUGUAAGUGAAAUAUCUCCAGGCGAGCUAACCGACUAUACGCAGUAAUACAACAGUAAUGUAGUUCGGAAGUUUUUGUGACAAAAUCGUUAGAUAAAUUGGCCUCGAUAUUGAUGAUAACAAAAAACGAAGUUUAUUGAUAUAGAUGACUUGGAACGGUAAACGAGUAUCGCGAAAAACAAAAUCCUGAAGAUAAGUCUGUAAAAGUGCCUUGGUUAACAAAAAAAUUAACUGUAAAGGCAGUAUUCACUUUAAUUAACAAUAUUAAUGAGUUUGCUUCCAUAAAUUAUGUUUUAGAUUCAUAUAAGUGUGCCAAUAUGGCUAAUUCCUAGAUAGUACACUGUCCUCAAAUCCGUAACAGAGAACACAACGGUUAAUUCGGGAGAUACCACCAAGUAUGUACACGAGCGGCUAGACGUCUUCAUAGAUUAAAUCUAAAAAUUUCGAGGCCAACAAGAUGAUAUUUUGGCUUGAUCUUGUUUGUCAUUAACAAGUCGUGCACGCACUGAAAAUGGAUUUUUUCAUACAAUGCCUAACAAAGAUGCGUUCGAAAUAUUUCGGGCCCAAAACACCACACACAAAAUGCCAUUGGUUUGCCUUAUCUUAGAACAAACAUUUGGCUGCAUAGAUUACCAAAUUUUAUUCAGGAAAAAAUUUUAUACAGACAUAUGAAAGUGUG